rnacentral:rRNA from 1 species
UACGGAGGGUGCAAGCGUUAUCCGGAUUCACUGGGUUUAAAGGGUGCGUAGGUGGGCUUGUAAGUCAGUGGUGAAAUCUCCGGGCUUAACCCGGAAACUGCCAUUGAUACUAUAGGUCUUGAAUUAUCUGGAGGUCAGCGGAAUAUGUCAUGUAGCGGUGAAAUGCUUAGAUAUGACAUAGAACACCAAUUGCGAAGGCAGCUGGCUACAGGUAAAUUGACACUGAGGCACGAAAGCGUGGGGAUCAAACAGG